AGAGUUUGAUCCUGGCUCAGGACGAACGCUGGCGGCACGCUUAACACAUGCAAGUCGAACGAGAGAAGAGAAGCUUGCUUUUCUGAUCUAGUGGCGGACGGGUGAGUAACACGUGAGCAAUCUGCCUUUCAGAGGGGGAUACCGAUUGGAAACGAUCGUUAAUACCGCAUAACAUAAUUGAACCGCAUGAUUUGAUUAUCAAAGAUUUAUCGCUGAAAGAUGAGCUCGCGUCUGAUUAGCUAGUUGGUAAGGUAACGGCUUACCAAGGCGACGAUCAGUAGCCGGACUGAGAGGUUGAUCGGCCACAUUGGGACUGAGACACGGCCCAGACUCCUACGGGAGGCAGCAGUGGGGAAUAUUGCACAAUGGAGGAAACUCUGAUGCAGCGAUGCCGCGUGAGGGAAGAAGGUUUUAGGAUUGUAAACCUCUGUCUUUGGGGACGAAAAAUGACGGUACCCAAGGAGGAAGCUCCGGCUAACUACGUGCCAGCAGCCGCGGUAAUACGUAGGGAGCGAGCGUUGUCCGGAAUUACUGGGUGUAAAGGGAGCGUAGGCGGGAUCGCAAGUCAGAUGUGAAAACUAUGGGCUUAACCCAUAAACUGCAUUUGAAACUGUGGUUCUUGAGUGAAGUAGAGGUAAGCGGAAUUCCUAGUGUAGCGGUGAAAUGCGUAGAUAUUAGGAGGAACAUCAGUGGCGAAGGCGGCUUACUGGGCUUUAACUGACGCUGAGGCUCGAAAGCGUGGGGAGCAAACAGGAUUAGAUACCCUGGUAGUCCACGCCGUAAACGAUGAUUACUAGGUGUGGGGGGACUGACCCCUUCCGUGCCGCAGCAAACGCAAUAAGUAAUCCACCUGGGGAGUACGACCGCAAGGUUGAAACUCAAAGGAAUUGACGGGGGCCCGCACAAGCAGUGGAGUAUGUGGAUUAAUUCGAAGCAACGCGAAGAACCUUACCAGGUCUUGACAUCGUAUGCAUAGCUCAGAGAUGAGUGAAAUCUCUUCGGAGACAUAUAGACAGGUGGUGCAUGGUUGUCGUCAGCUCGUGUCGUGAGAUGUUGGGUUAAGUCCCGCAACGAGCGCAACCCUUACUGUUAGUUGCUACGCAAGAGCACUCUAGCAGGACUGCCGUUGACAAAACGGAGGAAGGUGGGGAUGACGUCAAAUCAUCAUGCCCCUUAUGACCUGGGCCUCACACGUACUACAAUGGCUGUCAACAGAGGGAUGCAAAGCCGCGAGGUGGAGCGAACCCCUAAAAGCAGUCUUAGUUCGGAUUGUAGGCUGCAACCCGCCUACAUGAAGUCGGAAUUGCUAGUAAUCGCAGAUCAGCAUGCUGCGGUGAAUACGUUCCCGGGCCUUGUACACACCGCCCGUCACGCCAUGGGAGUCGGUAACACCCGAAGCCUGUAGUCUAACCGCAAGGAGGACGCAGUCGAAGGUGGGAUUGAUGACUGGGGUGAAGUCGUAACAAGGUAGCCGUAUCGGAAGGUGCGGCUG
rnacentral:rRNA from 2 species